GAGGGUAUAGCUCAGUGGUAGAGCACAUGCAUAGCCUGCAUGAGGUCCUGGGUUCAAUCCCCAGUACCUCCA
rnacentral:tRNA from 1 species